rnacentral:rRNA from 1 species
CCCUUAGAUGUUCUGGGCCGCACGCGCGCUACACUGACGGAUUCAACGAGCUUACAACCUUGGCCGAAAGGUCUGGGUAAUCUUCAAAAUCCGUCGUGAUGGGGAUAGAUUAUUGCAAUUAUUAAUCUUCAACGAGGAAUGCCUAGUAAGCGCAAGUCAUCAGCUUGCGUUGAUUACGUCCCCGCCCUUUGUACACACCGCCCGUCGCUCCUACCGAUUGAAUGGUCCGGUGAAGCGUUUGGACUAUGGUUUUCUGAUGGUCCGCCGUUGGAUUACCGUGGGAAGUUCGUUAAACCUUAUCAUUUAGAGGAAGGAGAAGUCGUAACA